UGGAGACACCACUGCAUACUUCUUCCUGCGCUUCGGUUUCACUGUGCCACGGAUAUUGGCAGGCUUGCUUCGCCGGGAGCGUAGGCUGUGGAUGCUGAAGGGCUCAAUACUCUGCCUGCCAUCCCCGCUGCCUGACCACACAAACGGAACCAGGAGAGACACCUGGCCCAAGUCAUUCUCGGCUUAGGAUAGAAUAACCCGAGCAGCAGUGGUUUUCAGCCUGUGGAGGGGAAUAAAGAUUGCUUGCAGAAGAUGAGGCACGAAGACAGGCAGCUUUACAGAAAGACUGAGCAUGAGCAGGAUUGCUUCAAGGCCCAGAAGACAUGAUGGUGAAGAGAGACUUUCUCUGCGGUUCUUCCAGAACUCAGCAAUGCUCUGCCCGCCACUUCGGGAAGGGCAGCUAUGGGACCACAGAGAAGCAGGAAAGAAAUCAGAAAAGAACGUUCACAAGCUCCCACCACCACAUCUUCCCCACCUCCUGCAACUGCACUGAUGUACUAUGGAUGACCUCUCUGCAUCUCACAAGGGCUGUUCUCUCUGCUGUCGCCCUAGAUCCCGUGUGUUUGCGCCCACACAAGGAUAUCCAUGCAGUCAUUCUCUUUCUUCUCCCUGGUAGUCAGCACCCAAGACAGCCCACACUGACACUCAGCUCUGGGAGCCAGGCUGCUAUGUUAUCCCUUCUCACACUGAAUCAGGGGUGAACUGCGUGACCAACAGAAUAUUGCAGAAGUGCUGGUGUGUGGUCUCAGAUGUUAAGUCAUAAAAGAGAGUGACACUUCCACUUUCUUGGAUUUCUCACUCUGGGGAAAGACACACUGUGUCAUGAGAACAUUCAAGCAGUCCUCCGAGGAGGCCUGCACGAAGAGGAAGUGAGGUCUCCUACCAGCAGCUCCAGCCCACCUGCCAGCCCUGUAAGUGGGCCACCCACCAUGGAUGUGCAGCCACCUGGCCCAGCCACAUCCUUCCUCCAGACGACUGGAGCCUCAGUCAACCUUCCGAGAGACUCUGAGAACCCUCUCCCAGUUGCUCCCAAAUUCUGGACCUGCAGAAACUGAGAGAAAGAAUAAAUGUUUCGUGUUCUUCAAGCCACUAUAUUUUAGGCUCAUUUGUUACACAGCACUGUAUAACUAACACAUCUCCUAUGAUCUGAAUAGAUUUCCUCAGAGGAAAAGCCCUAGUCCUCAUGUCUCACAAGACCCCUCACACCCUCUUCACUAUCUGUUACUUCUCUAGCUUCAUCUUCUGCCACCCCCCUUUGCCACCCCAGUUUCAGCUAUCAUGACCUCUUCACCAUUCCUCACAUGCUCUUCAGGUCCUCUGUGCUCACGCCAUCCCUUUCCUCCUCCCCCACCUCUCUCAGACCUUUACUCAAGUAACUCUCUCUCCCAGUGAGGACUUGCUGAUCACCCUUCCAAAAAUGCAGCGUCCCUACAUACAGCGGCCCACACACACAUUCUCCAGUUUUCUACCUCCUUUAUUUUUUCUCCUUAGCACAUGUUAUAUUUUACAUACCAUAUAUAAUUGUCUAGCUUAUUUUACUAGUUGUGUGCUGAGUUGGUGCAUAAAUUUUUGUCUAUUUUCAAUAUUCUACAACAGUGUCUAGUUCAUAGUUCAUACUCCACAAAGAUUUGUCAAAUGAAUCCUCAAAUCUUAAGGAUGACAGUACCUUUAAGAGUACCAGUUAAUAGUACCUUUAAAAAUGCCUCGAAUAUAGACCUUUUGUGAAUCAUCCCCAGUUUACAAAACUGCUUCUAAAAUUUAGUGCUAGUAUUUAUAGUAUCUAUGUGGGUCCCUAGAAUCUGCAUCUUUUAUUUUGUCUUUACUAUUUUUCUUAUUUGUAAUUUCUCUAUUAUUAUCCUUUA